rnacentral:rRNA from 1 species
UACGAAGGGGGCUAGCGUUGCUCGGAAUUACUGGGCGUAAAGGGCUCGUAGGCGGCCCUCUCAGUCGGAUGUGAAAUCCCCAGGCUCAACUUGGGAACGGCACCCGAUACUGGAGGGCUUGAAUUCGGGAGAGGGAUGCAGAAUUCCAGGUGUAGCGGUGAAAUGCGUAGAUAUCUGGAGGAAUACCGGUGGCGAAGGCGGCAUCCUGGACCGAGAUUGACGCUGAGGAGCGAAAGCUAGGGGAGCAAACGGGG